ACACGACUACAUUAGAUACCCCUGUAGUCCCAGCCCUAAACGAUGCGCGUUAGGUGUAUCGGUGACCACGAGUCACCGAGGUGCCGAAGGGAAACCGUGAAACGUGCCGCCUGGGAAGUACGGUCGCAAGGCUGAAACUUAAAGGAAUUGGCGGGGAGCACCACAACGGGUGGAGCUUGCGGUUUAAUUGGAUUCAACGCCGGAAAUCUUACCGGGACCGACAGCAACAUGAAGGCCAGGCUGAGGACUUUGCCGGAUUAGCUG
rnacentral:rRNA from 1 species